GCCGAAGUGGCGGAAAGGCAGACGCGCUACGUUCAGGGCGUAGUGUCCGAAAGGACAUGUGGGUUCAAAUCCCACCUUCGGCACCA
rnacentral:tRNA from 1 species